rnacentral:rRNA from 1 species
AUAUUGACUCUGUCAAAUAAAAUUCUAGGUAGAAUUAUGAUAAUGACAUUGUCUGCCUAUAUGUCUUGACCAAAUUACGUGCCAGCAGUCGCGGUAAUACGUAGAAGACUAGUGUUAUUCAUCUUUAAUAGGUUUAAAGGGUACCUAGACGGUAAAUCAAGCCUUCACAGGGACUAAUUUACUAGAGUUACUUACGAGGGGGUAUUAAAGUACUGCAGGUGUAGAGAUGAAAUUCUGUCAUACCUCUUUUCAAAAGAAAAAUUAUGGCACAGGUAUAGGUGAAAGCAUCCCCUUAUGUGAUAACUGACGUUGAAGGACGAAGGCUUUGUGUCGCGAACAGGAUUAGAUACCCCAGUAGUCAAAGCAGAAAAUGAUGAAUGUCAUAGAUUAGAUAUAUAGUUUAUUCUAUAAAUGAAAAUGUAAGCAUUCCACCUCAAGAGUAAUUUGGCAACAUUGGAACUGAAAUCAUUAGACCGUUUCUGAAACCAGUAGUGAAGUAUGUUGUUUAAUUUGAUGAUCCGCAAAAAACCUUACCACAAUUUGAAUAUUUGUAUCUAUCUUUUUUUUCGUAAAGAAAUAAAAAGCUAAUAUAUUUACAAGCGUUGCACGGCUGUCUUCAGUUAAUGUCGCGAGACUUUGGUUAGUUCCAUUUAAUUAACGUAAACCCUUACUUUAUUUUUAUAUGAAGUAGUUCCCCGCUAUAUUGGAUAUGAUAACAGGGACUAGGACAAGUCAUCAUGGCCUUAAUAUUGUGGGCUAUAGACGUGCCACAUAAACCUUACAAAAGGGUGUGAAAUUGCGAAA